rnacentral:rRNA from 1 species
UGGGGAAUAUUGCACAAUGGGGGAAACCCUGAUGCAGCAACGCCGCGUGAGUGAAGAAGUAUUUCGGUAUGUAAAGCUCUAUCAGCAGGAAAGAAAAUGACGGUACCUGACUAAGAAGCCCCGGCUAACUACGUGCCAGCAGCCGCGGUAAUACGUAGGGGGCAAGCGUUAUCCGGAUUUACUGGGUGUAAAGGGAGCGUAGACGGUUUUGCAAGUCUGAAGUGAAAGCCCGGGGCUUAACCCCGGGACUGCUUUGGAAACUGUAGAACUAGAGUGCAGGAGAGGUAAGUGGAAUUCCUAGUGUAGCGGUGAAAUGCGUAGAUAUUAGGAGGAACACCAGUGGCGAAGGCGGCUUACUGGACUGUAACUGACGUUGAGGCUCGAAAGCGUGGGGAGCAAACAGG